CCAAUAGCGUAUAUUAAAGUUGUUGCAGUUAAAAAGCUCGUAGUUGAAUUUCGGGAUCAAUAUAUUGGUCGUGCCACCGGUACGUACUGGUCUCACUGGUUCCUCCUUCCUGAUGAACUAUGAUGCCAUUAAUUUGGUGUUACGGGAAGUCUGGACUGUUACUUUGAAAAAAUUAGAGUGUUUAAAGCAGGCUAUCGCUUGAAUACAUUAGCAUGGAAUAAUGAAAUAGGACGUUCGAUCCUAUUUUGUUGGUUUCUAGGAUUGACGUAAUGAUUAAUAGGGAUAGUUGGGGGCAUUAGUAUUCAAUUGUCAGAGGUGAAAUUCUUGGAUUUAUUGAAGACUAACUACUGCGAAAGCAUUUGCCAAGGAUGUUUUCAUUAAUCAAGAACGAAAGUUAGGGGAUCGAAGACGAUCAGAUACCGUCGUAGUCUUAACCAUAAACUAUGCCGACUAGGGAUCGGAUGAUGUUAAUUUUUUAAUGACUCAUUCGGCGCCUUACG
rnacentral:rRNA from 1 species